rnacentral:rRNA from 1 species
CGAUAACGAACGAGACCUUAACCUGCUAAAUAGCCCGUAUUGCUUUGGCAGUACGCUGGCUUCUUAGAGGGACUAUCGGCUCAAGCCGAUGGAAGUUUGAGGCAAUAACAGGUCUGUGAUGCCCUUAGAUGUUCUGGGCCGCACGCGCGCUACACUGACGGGGCCAGCGAGUACUCCCUUGACCGAAUGGUCCGGGUAAUCUUGUUAAACCCCGUCGUGCUGGGGAUAGAGCAUUGCAAUUCUUGCUCUUCAACGAGGAAUCCCUAGUAAGCGCAAGUCAUCAGCUUGCGUUGAUUACGUCCUUGCCCUUUGUACACACCGCCCGUCGCUACUACCGAUUGAAUGGCU